GGUAAACGGCGGCCGUAACUAUAACGGUCCUAAGGUAGCGAAAUUCCUUGUCGGGUAAGUUCCGACCUGCACGAAUGGCGUAACGACUUCCCCACUGUCUCCAGCGUCGACUCAGUGAAAUUGAACUCUCCGUGAAGAUGCGGGGUACCCGCGGUCAGACGGAAAGACCCCGUGCACCUUUACUACAGCUUUGCAGUGGCCCCAGGAACCGAAUGUGUAGGAUAGGUGGGAGGCUUUGAAGCGUGGACGCCAGUUCGCGUGGAGCCAACCUUGAAAUACCACCCUGGCAACUUUGAGGUUCUAACUCAGGUCCGUUAUCCGGAUCGAGGACAGUGUAUGGUGGGUAGUUUGACUGGGGCGGUCUCCUCCUAAAGAGUAACGGAGGAGUACGAAGGUGCGCUCAGACCGGUCGGAAAUCGGUCGUAGAGUAUAAAGGCAAAAGCGCGCUUGACUGCGAGACAGACACGUCGAGCAGGUACGAAAGUAGGUCAUAGUGAUCCGGUGGUUCUGUAUGGAAGGGCCAUCGCUCAACGGAUAAAAGGUACUCUGGGGAUAACAGGCUGAUACCGCCCAAGAGUUCAUAUCGACGGCGGUGUUUGGCACCUCGAUGUCGGCUCAUCUCAUCCUGGGGCUGUAGCCGGUCCCAAGGGUAUGGCUGUUCGCCAUUUAAAGAGGUACGUGAGCUGGGUUUAGAACGUCGUGAGACAGUUCGG
rnacentral:rRNA from 1 species